rnacentral:rRNA from 1 species
ACCUAAUAGAUACCCAGGUAGUCCACGCCCUAAACGAUGCGAACUGGAUGUUGGGUACAUUACGGUACUCAGUGUCGAAAGCUAAACGCGUUAAAGUUCGCCGCCUGGGGAGUACGGUCGCAAGACUGAAACUCAAAGGAAUUGGACGGGGGCCCGCACAAGCGGUGGAGUAUGUGGUUUAAUUCGAUGCAACGCGAAGAACCUUACCUGGCCUUGACAUCUGUCGAAUCCUGCAGAGAUGCGGGGAGUGCCGCAAGGAACGGACAAGACAGGUGCUGCAUGGCUGUCGUCAGCUCGUGUCGUGAGAUGUUGGG